UACGGAGGAUCCAAGCGUUAUCCGGAAUCAUUGGGUUUAAAGGGUCCGUAGGCGGAUAUCUAAGUCGGGGGUGAAAGCCCAGGGCUCAACCCUGGAACAGCCUUCGAUACUGGAUAUCUUGAGUUCGGAAGAGGUAAGUGGAAUGCCGAGUGUAGAGGUGAAAUUCGUAGAUAUUCGGCGGAACACCAGUGGCGAAGGCGACUUACUGGUCCGAUACUGACGCUGAGGCGCGAAAGCGUGGGGAGCAAACAGG
rnacentral:rRNA from 1 species